rnacentral:rRNA from 1 species
AUUGAACGCUGGCGGCAGGCCUAACACAUGCAAGUCGAACGAGUGGCGGACGGGUGAGUAAUGUCUGGGAAACUGCCCGAUGGAGGGGGAUAACUACUGGAAACGGUAGCUAAUACCGCAUACCAUCGGAUGUGCCCAUAUGGGAUUAGCUAGUAGGUGGGGUAAAGGCUCACCUAGGCGACGAUCCCUAGCUGGUCUGAGAGGAUGACCAGCCACACUGGAACUGAGACACGGUCCAGACUCCUACGGGAGGCAGCAGUGGGGAAUAUUGCACAAUGGGCGCAAGCCUGAUGCAGCCAUGCCGCGUGUAUGAAGAAGGCCGUAGGGUUGUAAAGUACUUUCAGCGGGGAGGCGUUACCCGCAGAAGAAGCACCGGCUAACUCCGUGCCAGCCGCCGCGGUAAUAC